AACGGCCGUACCAUGCUGAAUAUACCGGUUCUCGUUAGAUCACCGAAGUCAAGCAUCAGUGGGGGCGGUCAGUACUUGGGUGAGUACUUAGUGGGUCAGUACUGGGAACACCGCGUGUCGUU